CCUACGGGUGGCAGCAGUGGGGAAUAUUGGACAAUGGGGGCAACCCUGAUCCAGCCAUGCCGCGUGUGUGAAGAAGGCCCUCGGGUUGUAAAGCACUUUCAGUGAGGAAGAACGCCUGGUGGUUAAUACCCAUCAGGAAAGACAUCACUCGCAGAAGAAGCACCGGCUAACUCCGUGCCAGCAGCCGCGGUAAUACGGAGGGUGCGAGCGUUAAUCGGAAUUACUGGGCGUAAAGCGCGCGUAGGUGGCUUGAUAAGCCGGUUGUGAAAGCCCCGGGCUCAACCUGGGAACGGCAUCCGGAACUGUCAAGCUAGAGUGCAGGAGAGGAAGGUAGAAUUCCCGGUGUAGCGGUGAAAUGCGUAGAGAUCGGGAGGAAUACCAGUGGCGAAGGCGGCCUUCUGGACUGACACUGACACUGAGGUGCGAAAGCGUGGGUAGCAAACAGGAUUAGAUACCCCAGUAGUC
rnacentral:rRNA from 1 species